rnacentral:lncRNA from 1 species
ACUUCACGCUGAUGAAUGGCUCUUGCCGGCUUUCGGCUCUGAUGAGGGGUCUGCCCGCCGCCGAUUGAAAACACUAAUGAACUUACUGCGCCAUUUGAAAUUCACACGCACCAACAAAAUGGGGGGUGGGCAUUUCAGGUCAGCUGAGUCACCCGAGGAGGUGGCAGUGCAAGACACUGCCGGGAAGACGGAUUCCGAGGCAGAAGGGUGUAAUUAAGGAUUUCCACCCCCGAUUAGCGGCCGGACACUGUCCCUGCCUCGAUUUUGUUUGCUGUGGGAGGGAAAAAAAAAGUUUGCUGCUCCUCCCAAGACACUGGCCACUUUCUACUCACUGAAGUUCCCACCGCAGCGCUGGCUCCCGGCUCCCUAGCUCCCGCCCCCUGUCUGCAGGAAAGCCCUCCCCCGGAGCUUCCGAAACUGCUGGAGGUUCCAGAGUUUUGUAGCUCCGAAUGGGCGACCUGAGCCGAACCGCUCUCUGGCUGGGUGGUCGGCGGGAUCCUUCAGGCUCCUUUCGGGUCCGGGACGGGGCGGCGGCAGAGGUGGGGCGUGCGUGCUUGGGGCUGCCGAGUGAGUGCGGCUCCCUGGUGCGCGCCCGAGCAUCUCCCCGCCCUCUCCUGGGACCAGCAGUCUGCCCGUGGAGGGCUAGGAGCCCGCGACCAGGCCUGCCCCGGCCGUCGCCAACCUGUCCUUGGAAGCGUGGCGGAGACUGGUGCGCUCUCAGCCUCGUCGCGCCAGCCGCCUCGCGCCACCCUCCACUUUCAGCUUCAGAGCAGAGGAUUCCGCCGACCUCCACCUGUACCUGUACUCGGCCGUUAGGAAAUCCACUUGCAUUUUUAACUACCGUGCAGAACCAGAAACAGAUCGAGCACUGGGAGAACAAGGACGACGCCUCCUAGGAAAGCCUGAACCUUUAUGUUAGUUUAUCCAAAGUUUGGGCUAGAAGUGAGGAGAAUCCCUAAACUCGAGGUGGUGUGCCCAGACCCACAGCCCGUGUUCCCGAAGUUGCUAAGUGCCCGAGCGCAGCGCGUUAAGUAGAGAAGUCUUGGUAGUAAGCGAACCCGACCCGGCUCUCGGGGCGCUAGUGACGGAAAGCAGCACGCAUAUCUUUGCGGGAAGAAUCUAGAGUCGCCCUGGGAUAGAUCCAUCUCCUUCUGCCACUGAAUUUCACACUUGAAAAAGAUAAGGUCAUGGGGGCGGAUGAAUGAUAUCCCUCACUCAUUUAGCCAUUCUUAUUAUUAUAUAAAAAAAAGGCUUGUCAAUUAUGAAGGUGUGUCCCAGAUAUUACAUGAAGAUCAUGCAAACUACUUGAAAUUUGAAUCCGGACAUGAUCGUAAGGAAACUCUUUCAUAAAGCACUUUUGUGGCCUAGUUCCCACACACACACAAAAGUAUUAGGUCUUUAAAACUUUUCCAAGUAGUAAGUGAGACUCCCUCUUACUGUCUACGAAUACACAAUAAAGAGAUGAGACACUGCCCCAAUCCUAAAGAGGCCAGAACUGAAGUGCUACAUUGUGUGAGUUAGGGGAUGCUUCUUUUUUCCAGCUCUUUUUUCUAGAAUCCUCAUUACAGCUAACGCUGGUAAUAAAGGUAGGAAAACAAUAGAACUCAUAAAACUUAGAAAUGGUAAUAAAUCUUGGCUCCUGUCUCUA